UACGUAGGGCGCAAGCGUUGUCCGGAAUUAUUGGGCGUAAAGAGCUCGUAGGCGGCCUGUUGCGUCCGCUGUGAAAUCCCGGGGCUUAACCCCGGGCGUGCAGUGGAUACGGGCAGGCUGGAGGCAGGCAGGGGAGAACGGAACUCCCGGUGUAGCGGUGAAAUGCGCAGAUAUCGGGAGGAACACCGGUGGCGAAGGCGGUUCUCUGGGCCUGUACUGACGCUGAGGAGCGAAAGCGUGGGGAGCGAACAGG
rnacentral:rRNA from 1 species